AAGUGAUUAGUCUAAACAAGACAAUUGAUUUCGGCUCAGUUAAUCCAAGUUAAACUCUAGGAUCACUUC
rnacentral:tRNA from 1 species